UACGGGGGGAGCAAGCGUUGUUCGGAUUUACUGGGCGUAAAGGGCGCGUAGGCGGCCACCGCAAGUCGACUGUGAAAUCUCCGGGCUUAACCCGGAAAGGUCAGCCGAUACUGCGGGGCUAGAGUGCAGAAGGGGCAACUGGAAUUCUCGGUGUAGCGGUGGAAUGCGUAGAUAUCGAGAGGAACACCUGCGGCGAAGGCGGGUUGCUGGGCUGACACUGACGCUGAUGCGCGAAAGCUAGGGGAGCGAACGGG
rnacentral:rRNA from 1 species